GCAGAUAAACACCUUCCUGGCUCUUCACCAACAUCCUAGAGGAUCUGCUCCAGCUGAUCCUGCUCCACAGAGAGACUGUCUGCAUCUGCCUCUGUCCUCUGAGUACCUGCCACUGCCCCAAGGAAUGGAGAGUGGGGUUGCAGAGCACCAGCCAAUCACAGCCAGGAGGGAACGUGUCACCCUCACAGUCUCUAGCACCAUUAUUGUACCAGCAGCAUAAUGCCUUGACUCUCAUCACAUGACCCUCCCAGCCAUUCCUCAUCCAGUUCCUGCAAAAGUGAGUAGAGCUCCUCUUCCUUUCCCCGCUCUCUGCAAAGACUCAUAAAGAGGACCCCAUUCCCCGUGCUCGGCCAGGAGCAGCUUUUGAAGCCUCUGAGAAGAAGCAGUGCCCAAAGGAUCCCACACCAUCCUGAUGGGAGAACAAGGCCAAGUCCACACCAAGGCUCAGAGUUCCAAUUUCCUCAAGGAUGUCGCCCACAUCAAGAGAUGCUCUGCAGAUGUGAAGAGAGAUGACUAAGGGACCUAUUUUCUCUGACCUGGGCAUAAUUCUCCACCUCUCAUGUGUGUGAGUGCGUGUAUUUGUGUGUGUAGGUGAAGUAUAGAUAGAGUGGGUAUUUCUAGUUACCUAACAGCGGC